GCGGCACAAUCGUGCGAUGCCCUCCGAAGGCAGGGGUUGCUGGUUCGAUCCCAGCCGGGCGCGCCA
rnacentral:tRNA from 1 species